rnacentral:rRNA from 1 species
UGGAAGGGCCAUCGCUCAACGGAUAAAAGCUACCCCGGGGAUAACAGGCUGAUCUCCCCCAAGAGUCCACAUCGACGGGGAGGUUUGGCACCUCGAUGUCGGCUCAUCGCAUCCUGGGGCUGUAGUCGGUCCCAAGGGUUGGGCUGUUCGCCCAUUAAAGCGGUACGCGAGCUGGGUUCAGAACGUCGUGAGACAGUUCGGUCCCUAUCCGUCGCGGGCGUAGGAAAUUUGAGAGGAGCUGUCCUUAGUACGAGAGGACCGGGAUGGACGCACCGCUGGUGUACCAGUUGUCCCGCCAGGGGCACCGCUGGGUAGCUAUGUGCGGACGGGAUAAGCGCUGAAAGCAUCUAAGCGUGAAGCCCCCCUCAAGAUGAGAUUUCCCACCGCGUCAGGCGGGUAAGAUCCCUCGAAGAUGACGAGGUCGAUAGGUCCGAGGUGGAA